AAGGAUCAUUAUUAAAGUCACAAGGGGGUCACUAGACAUCCCCGGGGGCGUGAUGGUCCAGUACUCUUAGGGUAAUUCCGAGAGUACCCCAUCCGUCUUAUUUUACACCCCAUGCGUACCUAAACGUUAAGCUGGCUUUGGCGGCUACACCCGUCCGGGGGACCUAAAACUCGAUAUAUCGGUGAUCUCGGAGUGAUACGAAUAACUAAAACUUUCAACAACGGAUCUCUUGGUUCUGGCAUCGAUGAAGAACGCAGCGAAAUGCGAUAAGUAAUGUGAAUUGCAGAAUUCAGUGAAUCAUCGAAUCUUUGAACGCACAUUGCGCCCUCUGGAAAUUCCGGAGGGCAUACCUGUUCGAGCGUCAUUUAACCCCUCAAGCCAGGCUUGAUGCUGGGCGUCGUCCCUUGGGCGUGCCUCAAAUCCAUUGACGGUCCAGGUGAUUUCCAGCGCAUUAAUCGACCUUUUCGCUUGGAACAUCACUUGACACCAGUCUCUGCAACCCUAAGAUUGACCUCGGAUCAGGUAGGGAUACCCGCUGAACUUAAGCAUAUCAAU
rnacentral:rRNA from 1 species